UCACGUGGCCCACAGUUUCGAAUCUGGUCAAUGAUGUGCUCCACCAACCGGUCGUGUUUCCAUGGUUGGAGACCCCAUCGCCCUCGUUGUGAGUAACAAAUAUGUCCUGUCGUGCCACCCAAACUUUCGAGAAAUUUCGACAUGUUUGUAGCGAUUCAUCGCAGAUUGACUGCGUGCUGCAGCUGUGCUUCCAACCUCUGCGCGCCUACAAAACUGGAAGCUUGGACAUCUUCAGCUCAGGAGGUUGAGUCUCACGACAGGCUUGACAGAGCGACCAGACCUGGUCAGAGUUCUGUCGUCAUCUGUGUCGUCGUCAAAAGUUGAAUGGGUGACUUGCUGGGGCACACAGUGCUCGGCACUUCUUGUCUGAGUGUCUGUCCUCUGCUGUUCUGCUUUUGUUGGGCGGACGAAAGAUGUAUUUCGGCGAUGUAGACCUUUCUGUGUUUUAACAAAUACCGAACGGGGUUCGUCCAAGAAUCGUAUGACCGUACCAGGGAUCCAGUGUCGGUGUCCUUCCCACACUUUGACUGAUUGACCUACAGCCAUUUUCGGUGCUUGCCUUGUGUGCUGAUCACCAUACCUCUUCUACCGGUCACGUUCUGUAUUCAAUUUGUGUCUCACACCUUGUAUUACCUUUGGCUGUAGUAUGUUUAUAAGUCCCAAACAUCGCCACACCAGCAUUGGACAGCUGUUUCGGCCUUCUUGGCCCUUCAUCAGCAAUGCGUAGGUGGGCGACGUUUGAGCGAGUGG